GGCCUAUCAGCUUGUUGGUGGGGUAAUGGCCUACCAAGGCGACGACGGGUAGCCGGCCUGAGAGGGCGACCGGCCACACUGGGACUGAGACACGGCCCAGACUCCUACGGGAGGCAGCAGUGGGGAAUAUUGCACAAUGGGCGAAAGCCUGAUGCAGCGACGCCGCGUGAGGGAUGACGGCCUUCGGGUUGUAAACCUCUUUCAGCAGGGAAGAAGCGAAAGUGACGGUACCUGCAGAAGAAGCGCCGGCUAACUACGUGCCAGCAGCCGCGGUAAUACGUAGGGCGCAAGCGUUGUCCGGAAUUAUUGGGCGUAAAGAGCUCGUAGGCGGCUUGUCACGUCGGUUGUGAAAGCCCGGGGCUUAACCCCGGGUCUGCAGUCGAUACGGGCAGGCUAGAGUGUGGUAGGGGAGAUCGGAAUUCCUGGUGUAGCGGUGAAAUGCGCAGAUAUCAGGAGGAACACCGGUGGCGAAGGCGGAUCUCUGGGCCAUUACUGACGCUGAGGAGCGAAAGCGUGGGGAGCGAACAGGAUUAGAUACCCUGGGUAGUCCACGCCGUAAACGUUGGGAACUAGGUGUUGGCGACAUUCCACGUCGGUCGGGUGCCGCAGCUAAACGCAUUAAUGUUCCCGCCUGGGGAGUACGG
rnacentral:rRNA from 1 species